UAAUCAUGCAAACUUGUCGCCGUUUCGGAUUAAAUCGAGGAGUUCAUAUACAAUUUGAUUACAGGCUGGACGCCAAGCAGAGGUCUUGAAUCAAAUUGUAUAUGAACUCCCUGCUGAACAUCCUCUGGCUGAGAGCAGACCGCUGCGCGAACUUCUUGGGCACACCCCUCCUCAGGUUUGGAUUAUCGCAUCAGACAAGUUCCUUGUAGAUUGAUUGCCUAGGAGGAUUCCUGUGGUGUAUAUAGGGUUUGUUUAUGCUAUUCCUAUCAUUCACUUUUUGGCAGUGUGUAGAGGAGGAGAUGCUGUUAUCUUCAAUUUAUUUUCAUGUCAUAAGCGGUGGUUGUAUUGAUUCCAAAUCCCAAACAUGCAUCAAGUAUUAUUUUCAGAGAAGAAUUCUCAAUA